rnacentral:rRNA from 1 species
AGUGAACGCUGGCGGUAGGCCCAACACAUGCAAGUCGAACGGCAGCACAGUAAGAGCUUGCUCUUACGGGUGGCGAGUGGCGGACGGGUGAGGAAUACAUCGGAAUCUACUUUUUCGUGGGGGAUAACGUAGGGAAACUUACGCUAAUACCGCAUACGACCUACGGGUGAAAGCAGGGGAUCUUCGGACCUUGCGCGAUUGAAUGGGCCGAUGUCGGAUUAGCUAGUUGGCGGGGUAAAGGCCCACCAAGGCGACGAUCCGUAGCUGGUCUGAGAGGAUGAUCAGCCACACUGGAACUGAGACACGGUCCAGACUCCUACGGGAGGCAGCAGUGGGGAAUAUUGGACAAUGGGCGCAAGCCUGAUCCAGCCAUACCGCGUGGGUGAAGAAGGCCUUCGGGUUGUAAAGCCCUUUUGUUGGGAAAGAAAAGCAGCAGGUUAAUACCCCGCUGUUCUGACGGUACCCAAAGAAUAAGCACCGGCUAACUUCGUG